rnacentral:rRNA from 1 species
UACGUAGGUGGCGAGCGUUGUCCGGAUUUACUGGGCGUAAAGGGAGCGUAGGCGGGACUGCAAGUCAGAUGUGAAAACCACGGGCUCAACCUGUGGCCUGCAUUUGAAACUGUAGUUCUUGAGUACUGGAGAGGCAGACGGAAUUCCUAGUGUAGCGGUGAAAUGCGUAGAUAUUAGGAGGAACACCAGUGGCGAAGGCGGUCUGCUGGACAGCAACUGACGCUGAGGCGCGAAAGCGUGGGGAGCAAACAGG